rnacentral:lncRNA from 1 species
GUUCCCCCAAUAAACCUCCUGUACUCAGUCCUCUACCAAGAGUCUGCUUCCGGGGGAAUUUGCCCUAAGAUAGUCGUAACAGGACUGGCCCUAGGAAGGAGACUCUAAAAUGAUAUUUUGGAGCUCCAUCAUCCACUUGCUGGUUUACAAUGAUCUCAUCAUAGACAGCAGAGAAGAGCAUCUCUCUCAGAGGAGGCACUGAACAGCCAAAUACACAGAAGAACUUGUUCGGUUGACAUCCUUCCAUCAGCUUCUGCUAUUGGCCACCUGGAUGCUGGUAAAAUGGGCAGAGAGGUAUAUCAGCCACAACUGUAAACUGGAGAGAACAAGAGCCUCCUAUCCUCUAGGAUUGCUAUGUACCUAAGAUUGUGGUCUGUAUUUCCUGUGACAAGAUUCCUUCCUGAUGAUUUAUCAAGGAAGAGGUUCUUACUUUUAGAUUCAGGUCUCUCUGUGAAAAACAUGUUAACCUAGAAAGUUGUCUCACCAAACACUAGGAAAUGUGGCAUAAUUGGAUAUCAACUUUGAUGCAUUGAUUUUUAAUGGAACAUCAGCAUCUGAU